UAGGGUAUCUUCAAACACAUGAUACCCAGCACCUUAUGGUAUAAAUCAACACAGAAUGACCUCACUUUGUUGUAUAGAAAGUCUCAUUAGUAAGGAAGCAAGGAUGAGUUUUCUGAGUCAAGGCCUAUAGUGACUGUUUGGGGUUUUGUUAGGUUAAGUUUAGGGUAUCUUCAAACACAUGAUAGCCAGCACCUUAUGGUAUAAAUCAACACAGAAUGACCUCACUUUGUUGUAUAGAAAGUCUCAUUAGUAAGGAAGCAUGGAUGAGUUUUCUGAGUCAAGGCCUAUAGUGACUGUUUGGGGUUUUGUUAGGUUAGGUUAGGUUAAGUUUAGGGUAUCUUCAAACACAUGAUAGCCAGCACCUUAUGGUAUAAAUCAACACAGAAUGACCUCACUUUGUUGUAUAGAAAGUCUCAUUAGUAAGGAAGCAUAGAUGAGUUUUCUGAGUCAAGACCUAUAGUGACUGUUUGGGGUUUUGUUAGGUUAGGUUAGGUUAAGUUUAGGGUAUCUUCAAACACAUGAUAGCCAGCACCUUAUGGUAUAAAUCAACACAGAAUGACCUCACUUUGUUGUAUAGAAAGUCUCAUUAGUAAGGAAGCAAGGAUGAGUUUUCUGAGUCAAGGCCUAUAGUGACUGUUUGGGGUUUUGUUAGGUUAAGUUUAGGGUAUCUUCAAACACAUGAUACCCAGCACCUUAUGGUAUAAAUCAACACAGAAUGACCUCACUUUGU